GACGAACGCUGGCGGCGUGCCUAAUACAUGCAAGUUGAGCGCUGAAGGUUGGUGCUUGUACCAACUGGAUGAGCAGCGAACGGGUGAGUAACGCGUGGGGAAUCUGCCUUUGAGCGGGGGACAACAUUUGGAAACGAAUGCUAAUACCGCAUAAAAACUUUAAACACAAGUUUUAAGUUUGAAAGAUGCAAUUGCAUCACUCAAAGAUGAUCCCGCGUUGUAUUAGCUAGUUGGUGAGGUAAAGGCUCACUAAGGCGAUGAUACAUAGCCGACCUGAGAGGGUGAUCGGCCGCAUUGGGACUGAGACACGGCCCAAACUCCUACGGGAGGCAGCAGUAGGGAAUCUUCGGCAAUGGACGAAAGUCUGACCGAGAAACGCCGCGUGAGUGAAGAGGGUUUUCGGAUCGUAAAACUCUGUUGGUAGAGAAGAACGUUGGUGAGAGUGGAAAGCUCAUCAAGUGACGGUAACUACCCAGAAAGGGACGGCUAACUACGUG
rnacentral:rRNA from 1 species